rnacentral:rRNA from 1 species
AAACUGAAGAGUUUGAUCAUGGCUCAGAUUGAACGCUGGCGGCAGGCUUAACACAUGCAAGUCGAGCGGUAACAGGGGGUGCUUGCACCCCGCUGACGAGCGGCGGACGGGUGAGUAAUGCAUAGGAAACUGCCCAGUAGUGGGGGAUAGCCCGGGGAAACCCGGAUUAAUACCGCGUACGCCCUUCGGGGGAAAGCAGGGGAUCUUCGGACCUUGCGCUAUUGGAUGUGCCUAUGUCGGAUUAGCUAGUUGGUGGGGUAAAGGCCUACCAAGGCGACGAUCCGUAGCUGGUCUGAGAGGAUGAUCAGCCACAUCGGGACUGAGACACGGCCCGAACUCCUACGGGAGGCAGCAGUGGGGAAUAUUGGACAAUGGGGGCAACCCUGAUCCAGCCAUGCCGCGUGUGUGAAGAAGGCUUUCGGGUUGUAAAGCACUUUCAGUGAGGAGGAAAACUCUGCGACUAAUACUCGUAGGGCUUGACGUUACUCACAGAAGAAGCACCGGCUAACUCCGUGCCAGCAGCCGCGGUAAUACGGAGGGUGCAAGCGUUAAUCGGAAUUACUGGGCGUAAAGCGCGCGUAGGUGGUUUGAUAAGCGAGAUGUGAAAGCCCCGGGCUUAACCUGGGAACGGCAUUUCGAACUGUCAGGCUAGAGUAUGGUAGAGGGUAGUGGAAUUUCCUGUGUAGCGGUGAAAUGCGUAGAUAUAGGAAGGAACACCAGUGGCGAAGGCGGCUACCUG